CUCAUCUUGGUGGUCUGGUGCCACUCUCUGGCCAGACCGAAGUCCGUGAUCUUCAAGGUUUUCCCACCAACAUUGUCUCGUCCCAGCGGCUCCAGGAUCAGAACUGAGGGAAAGACGUUAAAGUGGAUUAAUGUCGGUACCAAGUCCAACUUCCUCCUUCAUUUCCGUGUGAGAAAAUCUUGUGCAUCUUCACACCGCCAUUACAUGUCAGACGAGGAACAAGUGCAGGCUGACUGUCACGUCAGUGGACAAGACAGUGUUCUGAG